CACACUACUCUUAAGAGUAUGCAGUUUGUUACAGUAACAGAAGACCAACAAUCUCGCCAACAGUUACUGAUCACUAGUUCCUUGGCGUCGAUUUAACUUUGCACCCGUUCUACAAGAUGUAGCCAAAGUUCUCGGUGUACAGCUGCUGCUCUCGGAUGCUCAUUGACAAUUCAAGGCUACACUCGAUGGCUACUUAAGGCAGAUUCCUUGGCUUCUCUUCAGCUUUAUCAUCCAUUUGGAGGCCAACAUGAGAUGGAGACCAAGGCCCGGGGAAGGUGAUCUACUCGGCAAAAGGUCGACACACGCUUUGACUGGAUCAGGUAUCAUUUACAUGGUCAAGAAUAGACAUUAUCUUCGGAUCCUACAAGCACAAUGCGGGAUGCACGCCUACCCUAGCCUGGGGCCAAGCCCGGCCCGUGCCCCAGUGACCAGGCAAGACUUCUCCAGGAUGCUUCGCGCCGCCAUCGCAGUGCUAGGCUCGCCUCCAGCUGAUUACGCCCCUCACUCCUUUAGAAUUGGCAGGGCCACUCGGUUGUCUCUCCACUCGUCUCGGUACACGUGUCGUUGCUGCUGCUCCUCAGGAUGUAGCUUCCCGCUUGGCUGCCUUAUCCUGCCUUGGCGAGAUCCCUGUUCGGGUCUCAAAGAACGCUCGGUUGAAUGCCAGUG
rnacentral:lncRNA from 1 species